AAUAUACACAAGAGAAUUGAUAACAGAUAUUCACACAGAAACUUGUACAUAAAUGUUUAUAAGAGCAUUAUGCAAAACAGCCAAAAAGUUGAAACAACCAGCCGGGCGCGGUGGCUCACACCUGUAAUCCCAGCACUUUGGGAAGCCGAGAUACUUCUAAAGCUGCUGUGCUCAUAACUAGGGAAGCAGAAGAGGAGAUCGUCCUCCUGCCCUGGCAACCAGGGAUGAUGGCACGUGCCUAGGCUCAAGCAUGGCAAUUCUCCCAUCCAGAACUUGGAAUCUUCGGGGUUCUCACUUCACAGAGCUGAUAGUGUGAGAUCUCAAAGAAACUGCCAUGAGAGUCCUUUUCAUAUUAAGUUAACCAGACUUGAUUUCUGUAGCUUGCAAUCAAGAAUCUUAACUGAUGCCAAAAGAGUGAGGAAUUUUGAAAAACACUGACAUGCCAUUUCAGAUUAAACAAACAGACAUGCAAACAAGCACAGAAGAACUGUGAGCACAGUUCCAAAGCAAUGAGACAGAUUUUCACAAAUGCGUAUUCUUUCUGCAGUGAGGACUAUAGCAAAUCUCAGAGGUCACAAU
ensembl:lncRNA novel transcript